ACUGAAAGAGACAGAAGCUUGUUAACAGAUUUCAUCUUUAUGUUUAAGGUUUUAAGUGAAGGACUUGCCCCUGAGGCCACUGCACGCGAAGAAUGGGAGCUGAGGUCGGGGCUCCGCCAGGAGAUGUUGUCACAACGCAGAGGUCACUACAGAGAGACAUGGUCCUGCCUUGCUCCCUUUUGACAAACACUGAGGCAGGGGGUGCCGGGAGCCCAGAGGUGGGUGCUGUGGUUCUCUCCGCUGACUUCCAUGUGUAUGUGAUUCCAGGACAGUGGCAAAGGCUAAUGUAGGAGACAACUCCAGGGGGAGGGCAAGUUAAGGAGGCACAGUUCAGAGGGGCCCGUGACUGAAGGCUGAGAGAGAAAGGUCAUUAAAGAAUAGGCCUGUUUGCCUUGAGCUGCCUCAUCCUAACAGAAAUGGACUGUAGAAGGUGGAGACAUGUGCCUAUGAUAUUAGGCAACUAGAAUUUCAGGUCUGAAGCACAGGAAAGAGGACUGGGUUGGAGAUAUGAAGGAGAAAAAGGGUGAGAAGGAAUCUUAGUGCCACCACUGGGAUACUGGGAAUGGGGAGGGACACCUGGAGUUGGCAGUGCUGCUUCCUUCUCUCCCCUCUCCUCGGACUUCUGCAGCUCCUAAACCAGUCUCCCUUUCCCCAGGUACAUCAGCUCAAGUGUCUGUCUGAGUGCGGCCCGUGUGCCAGGCUCCGGGGCACAGAAGCAGCUGACUGGUUCUCUCCCUGCCUAGCAGGUAAGCUGACCAUCUAGCCAAGUGACCCAGUGCCCAGCUGGAACCUGGCAGCAGCAAGGGGAGUCUCUGUCCAAUUGCACAAGUUCAGCUGCACGUAGGGAAGCUUCUGCUCCAAGGCCUGCCCGGGAGGUCAUCUCUGCACGCAAGCGGCCGCACUUGCAUCAGCUGAGCAGUGAGAAGUGGACAGGCCCUCUGGCCUGGGAGUUCCGAGGCCCUGCCUGUGGCCAGCUGGAGCCUUCCCUGCCGGCAGCAGAGGCAGCGGCAGUGAGUGUUCGGGCCCCGUCUAAGCCUCCAUACCCACAUGUCCUUUUCAACCACCACCUCAACUCCAACAGCAGCUUCAGGAAAAAUUUCUAGAGUUGUUCACACUAGAAGUUUGAAUCAGCUGUGCUUUUCUUUCAGUUAGAGGAGUCCUUACCACAGAUUCUAGAAAUCAAGCCCAGAAACUCGUUAACGAGAAAAACCAGAGGCACUGUGCUGAAAGCCUCAUGGCACCAAGCCUAGACUUCCCCGGUCAGCCCACUGAGCUGAUCUGUCACACAGCCCUCUUCUAUCGCCACGGAAGCUGGCCUUGUCAGAAACGGACCUUUUGCCAGCAGCUUUCACGUCCUGUCCAGUUUUGCCUAUAAAAAGCUUUCCGUUGUCCGGCUUCUCAGAGCAACUCUAUUUACUAGAUGGGCUGCUGCCUGAUUCAGGAACCACUUAAUAAAGCCUAUUAGCUCUUCAAAUUUAUUCAAUUGAAGUUUUGUUCUUUAACAUUCAAAUCCAUGUCUUUCAAAUCCAUGUCUUUUCCUACCCAUCUCUAAGUAACUGAAAACCUUCAAGGUUUAAAGGGUGGUGACCUUGCUGGCCCUUGGGUGGUGGCGCCUUUCCCCUACCCUGCCUCCACCAUUCAUGGCCCGUCUGGGUUGCUAGUGAGGGGGUACAGAGACCAAAAUACUACCAUGGCAAACAUGUUAGAGAUACAGCAGGGUCACCGUAGGAAGCCUGGCACAGGUGCCAAGAACUGGGCCGAGCCCAUGCGGAGGAACAGUCAGCUGCAGCCACAAGGCAGAAGUGGCUCAGGUGAAGUGAGAGGAAGGAGAAGCUGUGCACAAAGUCAAAGGAUUUCUACAAAAGAGAGAGAGAAUCAUGGGCUGGUCACCAGCAUCCUUCCAUGGGGGAAGGACUGGUGUCUGCAGCAGUUGAGGGGGUCCCCUGGACUCCCCCCACCUGACAGGGUUUAGGUGGAAAAGCUGUGAGGCUGCCUCAGGUAGUCAAUAACACAGAGCCAAUCAUAUCAGAUCUUUCUGCUUUUCUCUUAAAACCACCUUGGUCGGCCUCCUGCUCUCCACAAUGCACUACAGUUAGUAUCACAUAAGCCUUUCUUAUAGGCCAGGAAGGACUUGCCAUCAAUGCAUCGAAAUCACAACAGUUUAAACUGGUCUCAUGUUGUAGGUCCACAGUCAAAAAGGAUCUGCCCUCCACAGCUCAUCCUCACUCUCUCCAAACCUUAUGCACCUUAAAGCUGGGGAGAAUUCCCUAGCAAGCAUGUACUAGCCUGGGGAGGGAACAACUGGUUUGUCUUCCACAGAGUGCAAGAAGCGGCUGAGGCAUUCAAGUUGGGCCAACAGGGACCCAGACUUAACAGACCUUGGGCAGCCCAUUCCCAGUUGGAGCCUCCAUAAAAUAAGGUUGGACAAGUUGAUUUCUAAGCCUGUUUUCAGCAUAGCCUUUUCCAGAGCCUGAGUCACGUAGCACAAAACAGCAAAGGUCCUGUGUGGUGGGCUUGCAAAUAGGGAGACAAAGAGCACUUCCUCAUUUAACACAUUAUCCCUGAAUUUCAAGCCAGUAACAACUUCUCAUGAUCAGAGAAGAAAAAGACUUUCCAAGGAUGGGGAGAGAACACACCAUGUUGGAGUUAGUAAAAACUACCCUUUGGGUCUACAUUAAGAAUUUUCCAAGGUAGUUUGUACUUGAUUUUGAACUCAUUUGCUGACUUGAAAACUAAUGCCCUACUAAGAGGGGAAUUCCCAGUGUAUGAGCUACAUUUCAAACUAUAUUACAAAGUUGAACACAAAAUUCAAUCCCACGUGUAUAUGGUCAUAAUAUGACAAAGGAACCAAGAAUAAAUAAUAUGAAACUAAACCACCAUCUUAUACCGCACACAAAAAUGGCCUCAAAAUGGAUUAAGUGCUUGUAUGUAAGAUGUGAAGCUCUAAAACUCCUAGCAGAAAACAGGUGGUAAGAUCCUUAUGUCUUGGCAAUGAUGUUUUUAGAUUUUACACCAAAAACAAAAGUAAGUGGGACUAGUGGGACUACAACAAAGGAAAUGAACAAAAGGAAGAGGCAACCUACUGAAUUGGAGAAAAUACUUGGUAAGCCAUAUACUUGAUGGAUUAAUACCCAAAAUAUAUAGAGAACUUAUAACUCAAUAGCAAAAAAAUACACAUCCCAAACAAGCAGAUUAAAAAAUGGGCAAAGGAUCUGAAAAGAUAUUUUUCCAAAGAGGAUAUACCAGUGGCCAAUGAGUACACAAAAAGAUGUUCAGCAUCACUAAUCACAGAAGUGCACAGAGAAGACAUCACCUCAUGCCUGUUAAAAUGCCUGGUAUCAAAAGGAGGAGGUGAAUGCUGGUGAGGGUGUAGAGCAGAGCGAGCCCUUGUGUACUUGGUGGGAUUGUGCAGACGGGGGUAUGAGGGACCCCACCAUCCUGAGAACAAUGGGGGAGGCUAGAUGAGAGGCAGCUGCUCUUCCCCACACAAGUCCCCAGAGUGAGUUUGUACUUAGCUGGCCAUUGGGGGGAAGUGGGGACCACAGGCUUUCAGAAGUGUCCUAGGAUACAAUCAGGGCAGGAGCCUGAGACUUAAGGCUCCCCACCUGGUAGCAUAGGACCUUUCCUGUUUUGUGCUGUGUGACCCAGCUCUGGAAAAGGCUAUGCUGACACUCUAAGCAGCUAGGUUUCUAUGUUCUUGACUACAGUCACAGGUUUCCCUGUGACAAGGGUCUGUAGCUUAGGAGAGCACAGAAGCACACACAGCACCUGGACAAAGGUUCUUCCUCCCUCGCCAUCCUCCCGUUUUCCCUCAGACCUUACCUGAGAAAAAGGAAGAUGGUUCUAGGGGACUCAGCCUUGUGGUUCUCCAGGACCUGGCGUUCCAGAUGUGGCCCAAGGGCCUCCAGCAGCCCUGGGUGCAGCUUCUCAGCCUCAUCAAAAAUGAACAGGGUCUGGUGGCAAUGCUCCUGCGUCUUCCUCACCUGUUCCGUCAGCUGCUCCUGCACAGAAAACGGAGCAGUUGGGGACCCCUAGCGGCACAGGGCCCUGGUGAGGCGCCCUUUUACCCUGGUGAAGCAUCUGCAGUGAUUGCCUAGGGCUGGGUUCUACUGGUGGAGGUGGGGCUAUCCUGGGAGAGGGAGAAAGAGACGGCCUUGCCUGCUCUUGGUUAACAGCAGGCCCUACUCCCUCCCCUCCAGGAAGAGGUCUCAGAACUAAGAGCCAACUCGCCCUCCCCAACGGAUAGGAAUCAGGCUCUAAUACAGGGGUCAAAGGUAGAGACAAGCUCAAGUGCCAGAGGCAGCCACAGUCCCACUUGAACUUCCAGGAGCAGAGCUCCCACUGCGAAGGACCUAUCUGAGUCUACUUGGCCUACUUGGAACUGGGGCUUCCCAUUCAGGCAAGAAUCUCUUUUGAAAAGAUGCCGCUUUGUGGGGUUCACCAGAUCAGGGCCAGCUCUGCCCCAGGGUGGGGUGUUUUAGCAGAGCCCAUACUCACUGUUGCCUGUAGCCUUCCUGGAUCCUGACGUCAGUGCCCUGUGACCCGAGUGUGUAAUAUGUGCAAGGUGUGAGUGUGUACAUGUCAUUUUUCAUGGUGAGGAAGCCACAGUCAAAGCUGUUCUGGGAAGGCCUGGUUGACCAGUUGCCUGCCUUUAGGACAGUUCACCCUACCCUGCCCUCUGAGGCCACACUGAAACUGCCAAGUGACUCAGGCAAUCGCUCCUCAAAUGCUUACCUCAUCUUCCCAGGUUAUCGCAUUCCAGGUAUUGGCCUGGAAAGCCAGAGACAGACAUUGUCCAGCUUACUUUAAAUACUACAUCUAAUGGAAGAAAACCAAACUAACAGAGCAGCAGACGUUUUUUCUCUCUCCAUUUGGGGGAAAUCACUUACGAUAUGAUAGUAUGCAACUUUCUGUCCACUCUAAUGACGGUGACAUCAAGCAGCAUAAGGAAAGGCUUGCAGGAAGCACACCAAAUGCUAACUAUUUGUGUCCGUGUGGGGAGGUCAUGAUAAAGCUUUUGCCUUCCUCUGUACCACAUUUCCUGUAACUUCCACUACUAUCACAGAAAAUUAACACAUGGACUCUUUAAGCUCAGUGUCUGGCAGGUAAGGAGACAGCUCGGGACAAGUGGUGUGGAGCCUGUCAGUCCUCCACAUGCUCGGGUCCUCCUCUGUGUGGAGUGGAUGUUUCUGCGGGCUACAGGUUCUGCUGAAAUGGACCCUGUCCCCCAAGCCGCAUACCUAGGCUUCUCGAGAGCCCAUCCCCCAGCACAGAGGGCUGCGCCUCGGGCCGUCCAAGCCUCUCUCCAGCCCCAGCACUGCACUGCCAGCCUCACCUUGUACAGGUCCACGUACUUGGGGUGAGGGAAGUGCAUCAUAGUGAUGAACACCUUGACACAGUCACUCCUCAGCCCAUCCCGGUACAGGUUCUCCGCCAGCAGCCGAGCCACGAAGUUCUUGCCUGUGCCAGACCAGCCGUGGAACGACAGAGCCAGGGCCUUGUCCGGCCGGGGCAGCUCCAAGUAGCUCCUCACUGUGGUCAGGACCAGCUCCCGGGCCAGGUGCUGGCCGUGCAGCCGCACACUCAGGUCCGACUGCAGGCCUGGGGGUAGGAAAGAGGCCACAAUGAGAGGUGCACAAAGUGCAGUCCCCACCAGGCGGGCAGCAGCCGAGAGUGAACAUCGCUGAGGUGGGAGCACUUUGGCCUCAGAACAAGCCCUGGGCACACCUGGCAGCACCAGGGACCCUAGGGCUCUUUUCUGAAGAGUGGAGAAGUCACCAUUGAACUCGGAGAGAGAAAGGAUUCAU